UACAGAGGAGCCAAGCGUUGUCCGGAUUGACUGGGCGUAAAGCGCACGCAGGCGGCACCGCGCGUGGGGUGUGAAGUCUGGCCGCUUAACGGCCAGGCGCCAUCCCAUACGGCGGAGCUGGAGUGAUGCAGAGGUCGAUGGAAUUGCCGGUGUAGUGGUGAAAUGCUUAGAUAUGUCAUAGAACACCGAUUGCGAAGGCAGCUCACAAAGCCAUUAUUGACGCUGAGGCACGAAAGCGUGGGGAUCAAACAGG
rnacentral:rRNA from 1 species